AUUGAACGCUGGCGGCAUGCCUUACACAUGCAAGUCGAACGGAUCCAGGGGCUUGCUCCUGGGUUAGUGGCGAACGGGUGAGUAAAGCAUCGGAACGUACCGUGUAGUGGGGGAUAACGUAGCGAAAGUUACGCUAAUACCGCAUACGCACUGAGGUGGAAAGCAGGGGAUCGCAAGCCCUUGCGCUAUACGAGCGGCCGAUGGCAGAUUAGAUAGUUGGUAGGGUAAAGGCCUACCAAGGCGACGGUCUGUAGCGGGGCUGAGAGGAUGAUCCGCCACACUGGGACUGAGACACGGCCCAGACUCCUACGGGAGGCAGCAGUGGGGAAUUUUGGACAAUGGGGGAAACCCUGAUCCAGCCAUGCCGCGUGAGUGAAGAAGGCCUUCGGGUUGUAAAGCUCUUUCGGCUGGGAAGAAAUCGCACAGGCUAAUACUCUGUGUGGAUGACGGUACCAGCACAAGAAGCACCGGCUAACUACGUGCCAGCCGCCGCCGUAAAAC
rnacentral:rRNA from 1 species